GACGAACGCUGGCGGCGUGCUUAACACAUGCAAGUCGAACGGAAAGGCCUCUUUCGGGGGGUACUCGAGUGGCGAACGGGUGAGUAACACGUGAGUAACCUGCCCUUGACUUUGGGAUAACUUCAGGAAACUGGGGCUAAUACCGGAUAGGAGCUCCUGCUGCAUGGUGGGGGUUGGAAAGUUUCGGCGGUUGGGGAUGGACUCGCGGCUUAUCAGCUUGUUGGUGGGGUAGUGGCUUACCAAGGCUUUGACGGGUAGCCGGCCUGAGAGGGUGACCGGCCACACUGGGACCGAGAGACGGCCCAGACUCCUACGGGAGGCAGAAGGGGGGAAUAUUGCACAAGGGGUGGAAGCCUGAUGCAGCAACGCCGGGUGCGGGAUGACGGCCUUCGGGUUGUAAACCGCUUUCGCUCAUGACGAAGCUUUGUGUGACGGUAGUGGGUAAAGAAGCACCGGCUAACUACGUG
rnacentral:rRNA from 1 species